AAUAAAGAAGAGAAAAAAGAAA
rnacentral:sRNA from 1 species